rnacentral:rRNA from 1 species
GACGAACGCUGGCGGCGUGCUUAACACAUGCAAGUCGAACGGAAAGGCCCUGCUUUUGUGGGGUGCUCGAGUGGCGAACGGGUGAGUAACACGUGAGUAACCUGCCCUUGACUUUGGGAUAACUUCAGGAAACUGGGGCUAAUACCGGAUAGGAGCUCCUGCUGCAUGGUGGGGGUUGGAAAGUUUCGGCGGUUGGGGAUGGACUAGCGGCUUAUCAGCUUGUUGGUGGGGUAGUGGCUUACCAAGGCUUUGACGGGUAGCCGGCCUGAGAGGGUGACCGGCCACAUUGGGACUGAGAGACGGCCCAGACUCCUACGGGAGGCAGCAGUGGGGAAUAUUGCACAAUGGGCGGAAGCCUGAUGCAGCAACGCCGCGGGCGGGAUGACGGCCUUCGGGUUGUAAACCGCUUUCGCCUGUGACGAAGCGUGAGUGACGGUAAUGGGUAAAGAAGCACCGGCUAACUACGUG